UACAAAAUGCACCCUUCUCCAUCUGGAAGAGAAGAAGGUGAUAAAACCACAUCCUCAGGCUUAAACUAGAACCACAUAUAUUUGUGCAUAUUAUCUCAUUUCCUCUGUGCAAUUUUUGAGGCUAUGCAUGGAGGUCAUUGCCCAGUCAGCAAGCACUAGUUUUACUCUUGAAGGUACUGUUGUUCCUGAAUUUGUUUGUCCUAAAAGAGACCAUGAAUUCCUACCACCCUGUACUCCAGUCCUCUGGAAAUACUUGGCACCUUGCAAGAGCAAAACUCUGAAGAACAUUUUCAAUGGUAUCCUGGAAAUGAACAAAAAUCUUGAAGGUCUUCACUUUUGGACAAAGAAUGAAAUACAUGUCAAUUCUGUGGCUAGAAAUCUUGUCUGACAGGUACUGCUGCUGUGUUUCAUGUGCGUGCCUUGACAGCAGUGGCCAGAGUGGCAUUGUGUCUAUUUCCCUGUUCCUUUCAAAGAGACCUUCACAUCAUUCUGGGGUCAGUAAACGAAUGUGGAACCUUUGCUUCUUCAGAUGCUUGAAAACCCUGCAGGGUAAUGUUUUGAAUUAAUGGAGUCAGGAAUUGCUUUUUGUCUUCAUGUGGUUACACUGUGAUUAGUGCAGCCUGCCUGAGUAGGGUCUGCUAAGGCAGAUGGAGCAGAAAGCUGAGUGACCAAUCUGAAGUAACAAGGUAGCAAAAGACAACAGAUGGCCUAUUGGGAGACCCAAGCUCAUGUGAAGUAUUAACUGUCAUCCACAACAAGACCCUAAUUAAUGGCUACAGAAAACAGCUGCCCCAAGAAACAAAAUAUAAACUAUAUAAAUAUGCUUCAUGCACACAUGCACACAUAUAGAAGAGCAUCAACACCUAUGAAAUAAAGAUGCUUCAUUCAGAACUAGCUCACAUGAAGAGAAUUUUUGCAGCACUGCCAGAGAGAAAAAAUUCAGUGUCAUGAAAAGUUAAAGGUUCCGGAAAUGUUUUUGCUCAACACUGGAAUGAAAACAAAUUUUUAUAACAUUUUUCUGACUUGGAAUUGUGUCAAAAAUUAGUAUUUUCAGAUUGAAAAGCUCCAGAUUUUGGUGCAGACCUCCUCCUGCUUGUAGCCAGAACCCUGGGCUCCAGCAAUCUUUGUCAAAACCAAUAUGUCUCCACAGACUAUUUCAGCUUUGAUAAACAGCAUAUUUUAAUGAAAUGACAUUUUGCUGAAAAAAUUCCAGUCAGCUCUAGCUGUAGCCUUUGUGAGACUGGGAAAUUGAGCAUUAUUAAUAUUGCUAAAUCAUUCUUUUCAAAGGCCACCAUGUCUCUUGAUGAUCCCUAGACAUAAGGAAUUAAUUACUUGAGGGUGGAGGGAAGAUGGGGCGAGGGUGAGGAGGUUAGUGCUUUAUUGGACCCAGGCAUGGGAUAGUAAUAAAGCUACCCACAGUCAGGUUGCAAAUCAUAUUUUGUGUUUUUGAUGCAAUUACUUAAAAAAAAGAAGUGUCCCACCUCAGCUGGCCGUGAGUGCCCAUCCCAGAUGAGAAUUGUGGCUCCUCUGAUGGGCACCUGAGAAGCAGGGUUGGGGCAUCCUGCCAUAGGCCAUGGACCUGAUCCUGCCACCUCUUUGGCUGUGGUUAACAACACAGCAGCCGAAGACAUUGCACAGCUGUGCAAUCCCUGCACACCAGAAGCCAGAUCUCUUUGCUUUUGCAUCAGUG